GUGCUGCAGGACCUCUGUGAUGUGUCUGUUAGGUAUUGGAUUUUGUUUGACCGCAAUUAUCAGCCAGACCAGUGGGCAGACCGGUAAAAUACCAUGGACGCAAGAAAAGCUGUUCCACAAGCCAAGCAUGAUGACCACAUGAGCCACCCAGCAGGUCUUAGCACAGACUGAUGUCACCCGGAUGUGGCAGUAUGACCUCCGCCCCCUGCUGGUGCAGAGAUACCCGGGCUCAUCGGGCAGCGUCGCUGUGCGCCAGGCUUUCAAUCCAGAGCUCUCUCUGCAGCUGAUUUUCUUUGAUGGUGAGGAGGCUCUGCACCGGUGGUCCUCCACAGACUCUCUCUAUGGUUCACAACACCUGGCCCAGAAGAUGGGAUCCACUUCACACCCGCCUCGUGCCAGGGACACGACCCAACUG